AAAUUUGAAGAAGGGGGGGCUAUAGCCGGUGUGUGGCCCCUCCACUAAUUUAACGAUUAAAACGAGCGUACGAUCAUUGGCCUCUGCGUGCGUUUCCGAAUUUUAGGGCACUGGUACCAAUCACGGGCCCUUGAGGAAUCGAGCGCCAAGUGAAUUGUGUAUCUCGGCGUGUAGGAAUUAACCUCUCCUGACCUCAAUUUAAAACUAAAAUGCAGUUAGAAUAUAUUUCUAAAUCACAACACUUCUGUAGACGUCUGCUGUAGAAGCUAAAAACGUCUGCUGUGAAGCUAAAAACAUGCGUCAUUGCUCCGAGGGGGGUGCAUAUUUUGUCUCAUGUCACCCCUAAACGACCCUUCUAAAAGCAUUUGGCAAUUAUUGUAAAAAAAAAACAAGAGCCGGCAAUCGAGCCCUUGGAAUGCUAGAAUUCUAUCGGAAAAUCACUUCGAUGAGGACACUUGGUCGAAACCGCUCAAAAUACCGGAAAUAUUGUUUACAGGAAACCGUGCAGAGUUUUUACACCGUUUACACGGAUCUUAUACAGCUAGCGCUCUGCACUUUUGUCCUGCUGUGGGAGUUCCCAUGCAAACGGGGCGGGUAACCGUACGAAUGUUAAGCGGUAGAAAAUCAUACCGGGUCUGGUAUAAAAGGGGCCUUCAAUUAUCCCAUGUGGCAGUGCGCGCAAGUCAGGUGUGCAUGGUUGGUAUUCACCUCUUGGCACAAGCACGGUUUGGGUUGAUAUGACAGUAGUCAACCCGGUGCGAGAUGUCGCAAUAUUUAGAUCUCUUCUCUGUCAACGAAACCCAUUUAAAGCAGCAUCCCAAAGCUGUUACCACGGAAAGGAUGAAAUACUGAUAUUGGAUUGUAUGCUAUAUGGCUAAUAAACUAAUUCGUGACAUUCUUAUUUGCUGUAGUGACUAACCAAUAAACUUAUUGAAACUCGG